rnacentral:rRNA from 1 species
GACGAACGCUGGCGGCGUGCUUAACACAUGCAAGUCGAACGGAAAGGCCCUGCUUUUGUGGGGUGCUCGAGUGGCGAACGGGUGAGUAACACGUGAGUAACCUGCCCUUGACUUUGGGAUAACUUCAGGAAACUGGGGCUAAUACCGGAUAGGAGCUCCUGAUGCAUGGUGGGGGUUGGAAAGUUUCGGCGGUUGGGGAUGGACUCGCGGCUUAUCAGCUUGUUGGUGGGGUAGUGGCUUACCAAGGCUUUGACGGGUAGCCGGCCUGAGAGGGUGACCGGCCACAUUGGGACUACGAGACGGCCCAGACUCCUACGUGAGGCAGCAGUGGGGAGUAUGGCACAAUGGGCGGAAGCCUGAUGCAGCAGCGCCGCGUGCGUGAUGACGGCCUUCGGGUUGUAAACCGCUUUCGCCUGUGACGAAGCGUGAUUGACGGUAAUGGGUAAAGAAGCACCGGCUAACUACGUG